rnacentral:lncRNA from 1 species
UGCUCGUCUUGGUCAUCAAGAAUUUGAGGAAAGAGAAGAGGACAAAAAAAAAACAACAGGAAAACAACUAGCUCAAAAAUCUAAAAGAAGCCCGACUGAGGUCAUUAGUGCCAUUUCCCAUCCUAAUUGUCGCUCCGUGCGAGUGCCUUACCAAUCCUAAUUGUCGCGCCUAGUCCUCCUACGAGGAGCAGCUGCAGCAUCCUCACUCUGCUCUUCCUUCUCCUCUGUGGCUUGACUAUUGGAAGUGGAAGUUUCAGCUGCAUCAGUUUUUUCAGUCUCUGCACUAGCUCUAGCCUGCAGAUAUACAUACACAGCAGAGACAUAAGAAAAAAGACAAACAGGUGGGGGUUCUUUCAUUGAUUUGUUCUUUUAACUAAGAUGGCACGGAUAUUGGUGCUUACCGGCUUCGGCUGCGGCUGCUUCUUCCCACCAAAGAUGAGCUUCAAUAGAAUUGAGAAGAAAACAACUACGACUGAGAUGACAACACUAACUGUGAGAUUGGGUUGUGCCUCAGCUUUCUCGAGAAGAUCCUGGAAAAAUAAGUCGAGAUUAUAUUAGAUACUUGCAGCAAAAUGAAACCCUUCAAUGAAACAAAACAGUAGUUCCUACACUUACCAGUACUUUGGCCUUGUGUUCGCCCAAGAACGGGACGUCAGCUACCUUGUAGAGGAGGUCAAAUACUACUUUCUGCAAAGUAUUGCCAAAUAUUUCAAGUUGUGUGAAAUGAGAAUAAAUCUAACGCAUAGAAAUUAGAUGGUAAAGAAAGUUUAGUCCUAUACCUGGUAUCUUUUGAGACCACCAGAUUCUGCUGUUUCCUCGGCUUUUUGCUUCUCCUUCUCUACGUCAAACUUGGGUUUCCAGGCAGUCUUCCUGUAUGAUUCAGCAACUUUUUCAUCACUUGCUAUCAAGAUAUUGUCAAACAAUAUGCCAUCUUGCAUUGUCCAUAUCUCAAUGCCAAUAGCUGCAAUUGGCUCAAAGUUGGGUUUGUCAAGUUCAAAAUAGUCGGGAUUUGGGAUAUCCCUGGGCUUCCAUAUACCCUUGUAAUUGGGGUUGUCAAUCAGUGGAGCAUGCCAUUUUCCCUUGUAAGCUGGAUUUCUCUUCAUUGGUCUUUUCCACUCCCCACAUCCAGGAGCUUCCUCACAUUUUGGGUUGUCAGUUUUUGGAGCCUCCCAUAAACCAUCCUCCUCAUCAUCCCAAUCUUCAGGCUUUGUGGCCUCGGGAUUAUCGAUCUCCUCAGGCUCAUCAUCCAACCAUCCUUCAGGCUUCUCAGCUUCCUCAUCUUCAAUUUCCAUUGGUGCGUCCUCAUCCCAAUCAUCUGGUUUCUUAGCAUCAGGGUCUGGAAUUUUGGCUCUCUCGUCCCAGUCCUCGGGCUUCUUGUCUUCUUGACAGCUGAAAGGAAGUUAGCCUUCUUUUUUUCUUCCCCAUCAACAAAGAUCAGAACUUCAUUGUCCGGUUUCAACACAGCAGUGUAAACAUGGGUUAGUUUGUCAGACGGUACGGAAGGAGGAAACUUGAGGUGGUGCUCAAUGAACUCCCCACUCUUAGGAUUCUUAUGUUUCAAAAUGAAGUGCACCUUGUUUGUGGCUCCACAUUUAUCUGGUCCAAACAUUACCGUAUAGGGGGACGCAUUAUCAAAACCCUUUGCAGUCCAACCUGCUUCCUGGGGACGGAGGUAUUUUAGGUAGGCACCACCACACUCAAGUCCCUCCUGGAGGCGAACCUCAUAUUGAAGGACCACAGUUCCGUCUUUGAGGUCAACAACAUUGUCAAGCUCCUUGACAAUGGCGUAUUUCCUAGCCUUCUCACUCACUAGAAGUCCAUAAUCAUCAUGUCCCUCGCUCUUGGCAUGUUUCCACACACCUGAGAUAAAAUUAUAUGUCCAUUUAAACUUGCAAGAUCAAAGAUUAGACAUCACUUCACUAAUGCAAAUGCGAUAUAAACAUAAAAAGGCAUUGCUUUACUUCAGAGAUGUAAUACUUUUUCAUAAAGAUUUUCUGCAUCAGAGAUACAGCUUCAACCAACAUAGCAGAAUUAGAGUUAAAAAGACUAGAUACUUCAAUUAACUUUAUGGAAAUUUGGUUACAUGCCAUAUUUGGCACGAGUAACCAAAAUUUUUAAUGCUGAAGACUGCAUAAUAGACUGUCGGAAGGCACAUAAAUAACACCUGCACAUAAGACCCGCUGCUGAAAGCAAAUUUCAAAACCAACUCAUACUUACAUUUUUUUUAAGAAGGUGCCCUUUUAAACAAAAUAACUGUGUACUGUAUAGUUCAUAGAAAGUGCAAGCAUCCAUAAAAGCUAAUACCAUCACAACAUUUUCACUCCCCCAUCACCAAGCAAACAUGUCAAACAGAUUAUGUAAUGUGUAUAGUUGAGAGACAGAAUAAUAAUCCAUAAAGGCUAAGAGCAUCACACUGUUUUCACACUUAUGUUCCUCAAUCAUUGCUUCUUUACAUAGUCUUAAUGUCUCUUAAUUACUUCUCAAUCUUAUGAUCCUUUUAACCUACUUCAAUAAAAAGUUAAUGAAAGGGCAGCUCGGUGCACUAAAGCUCCCGCUAUGCACAGGUCCAAGGAAGGGCCUUAAUGUCUCUUAAUUACUUCUCAAUCUUAUGAUCCUUUUAACCUACUUCAAUAAAAAGUUAAUGAAAGGGCAGCUCGGUGCACUAAAGCUCCCGUUAUGCAAAGGUCCAAGGAAGGGCCUUAAUGUCUCUUAAUUAAUUUUCUCAAUCUUAUGAUCCUUUUAACCUACUUCAAUAACAAGUUAAUGAAAGGGCAGCUCGGUGCACUAAAGCUCCCGCUAUGCACAGGUCCAAGGAAGGGCCCCACAAGGGUGUAUUGUAGGCAGCCUUACCUUGGCUGUUUCGAAGGCUAAAACUCCUGUCACAUGGCAGCAACUCAAGGAAGGGCCCCACAAGGGUGUAUUGUAGGCAGCCUUACCUUGGCUGUUUCGAAGGCUAAAACUCCUGUCACAUGGCAGCAACUAUACCAGUUACUCCAAGGAAAUUGUAGCAGCUAAUUUUUCCACAGUUCGCUAAUUUUUCCACAGUUAGCACGCAAACAUUAAAACGAGUUAUGACUCCUUAAUCAUUGUUUGUUCCUUUAGCUAUAGUGUUACAUAUUGACACGACUCUUCUAACCUACUCCAUUAACAAGUUAUAAAUAAAUCUGAAGUAGUACCAAGGACAUUGUAGCAACUAAUCCCUCCACUAUUACCACUCAAACAUUAUAACAUCAUUACUUAAACAUUGUUUCUCCCUUUAACCUUAAAUUGCAUUAUUACUUCUCAACCUUCUGAUUCCUUUAUUAAACUCUAUCAACAAGUUGUAAAUGAAUCUGAAGAAGUAGCACAGGUAAUACAGUGAACAGUAAAUGCAAUAAACUACAGUGAUCCAGAAUUACAGAAUAUAAAACAUAAGAACCGAACGAAAUACUUCAUAGAUCCAGGCAAAACCUCACCUGAAUACUCCUCUUUCUCAGACACAAUCCAUUUCCCAUCGAACGCUUCAUCAAACGACUCGUAAAACUUCUACAGAUCAGCAAAACACAAUACAAUGCAUUACAGAUCAUCCAAACAAUCCAGUAAAAAACAAAAAUAACAACCAUAUGCUACACAAUACUAAUCUUACCAAAUCUGAAGAAGCAUACAGCUGAGAGAAAAAACAACAAGCCAAUAGCAAAACCGCAUAUUGCGCAAAGAUCUUCCUUUUACUUUCUUCCAUAACACACUACGGAAGAAGAUAAUACUCCAAACUGUAUCAGAGAUCUGGAAUUUGGAAAACCCUAAGGCGUGUUUGGGUGUUUUGGAUCAAGGAGAAGACGAAGAACACUCCAGAAGAACCGAGAGAGAAAAGAGUGAGAGAGGUUAGAAGGACGAGAUAUUCAAUUAGUAUAAAUAGAUCUCGAGAGAAAAAAGCAUCGACUUGUUGUAGCCAAUGGAACUUCAUGCCACGUGAAGUGAACCAAUGGGUGAUUGCCACGUAAGCAUGCGGACGAGGUUUAUGUACAAAUGCAGCGAAAUUUGGAUCGACGGUUGAGAUUGUUUUCAACUUGGCGCUCCAUUGGUCGCCCUUGACUAUUGUUUGUUUUUUAUCUUUAUAUUUACUUCCUAAUGGAUACUGUAAUGGAGUAUUUUGUUUUUUCACCUUAUGACGGAGUAAUACUGUAAUGGAGUACUUGCUAUAUUUUGUUUUGCGAAAUCAUAAUUUGAAAUUAGAUUAAUUUGUUGUUGAGUCAUAUUUGGAAGAUGUCUUUAAGUUGUAGAUAUUUUUCAUACAAAAUGAAUGAAAAUUAAUGACAUAAUUUAUGAAAACUACUAUAUUCAACAUUUUUGUCGAUCAAGCGAUAUCCAAAUUUAAACUAAAAAAAAAAAAAAAAAAAAGUCACCUGCAUUGACAUUCGAUCAUAUAUAAAUACAAAAUAGAUUUUUAAAAAAUUCUUAAUUAUUUAUUUUUUAUUGUACUUGCUAGCUAUGUUGCACGGACUUUUUGAUUUUUUCGUCGAAUCCAUCUCGAUGCAAUAUCGAUAUUGGUGCAGGUGCAUCUCCGAUUCGGCGGCCAAACGAAUCCAGACACUUCGACCAAAAUCAAAACAAAUUUGAGAAAAAACUGAGAGUUCGACCUUAAAAUAAAUUUACACAGUAUCAUUGUCUUCUCUGUUUAUAUAUAUUUGCUUAAAGUUCCAGGCCAAAACAGAGGGAAAAAUUUUGGCCUCUCACUUCGUCUUAGAAGACCGGCGACUAUAACUUCAAAGUAAAGAAAGAGACAAAAAUCUCAACGAUUCUUUAUUACUUAUAUUUCUAUUAGAAUCCAUACUAAUAUAGUAGUAAGAUAAUACUUUUUUUUUUUUUUGUUUCUGAAGGUAUUCCCACAGCUGGCAGCCGUGAGAUUAAUUCUCCAUUCCUCGGUCAGCGCAUUUUACGGUAAGGAACUAGCCACAGAGUUUGCUCCAUUUGCCAGAAGCGGGAAUCGAACCCCCGACCUCUUGCUUAAGGGACAUAGCGCUGAACCAUUAUGUCAACUCUGGUGGUUCGAGAUAAUACUCAUUAAUAAUAGAUAUAUAAUAGUAUUUAUUUGAUUUUUUUAGUCAAAUCUUCGCACCUGUAUUUAUACUCAAAUUCGCACUGUCGAAUCUUAAAAUUUAAUUUUGACGAAUACGACUCACAGAUCCUCAAUCAUCUUGAAUAUCCACACUCGAAUCUGAGCAACUUAGCUUGCAAGGCCUCGUUCUUUAAAAUUUUUAUCUUGUGUGAGCAACCGUCUCAACAUUAUUGGAAGGUUGAGAUUAAGGAUGUGCAUUGGUUGAUUCAAUUUGAUUUUGUGCAUUAUCGAUUCAGUUUAUCGAUUUUCGAUUUGUAAACAAGCUAAAUUAAUAAAUGAGCCAAUAAGAUAUUCAUUGUCGAUUUUUGGUUAAUCAAUUUUUGGUCUUUAUCGGUUCGUUUUCUAUUUAACCGAUAAGAAAAUACUCGCUUAAUUUUUCUUUACUUUCUCUUGUUUUCAUUUGUUCUACAGUAUCUUCAUGUAUAAAGUUUACAUAAAUUUUAUAAACUAAGACAACAACUAUAAAAUACAAAAUUCAAUAAGGUAUGUAUAUUGAAUCUAAAACCACUAUUAUCUAAGUGUGAAUAAAAAUAUAAUUUUAAUAUAAUAUUAUUGGAUUAUCGAUUUGACGAUCAACUAAAACCUUAAAAUCGGACCAAACCGAUAACUCAAUAAAAAAUCUAUAAAAUCGUUAACCCAAUAACCUAAUAUCCAUAAAUCAAAAAUAUUUUUAUGAUUCGAUUUAUCAGUUGAGUCGAUUUUGCACAUUCCUGAUCAAAAUUACAAAAAUUGACAAUAAAAAAAUUCUUGAUUAUUCUGCAACGAAAGUUUAGUUGCCAUGAUAUCAUUUUCAAAAUUUUCAAUUAUAUACGUACGUAAAAUGUGAGUUUCAUGAUUAUAAUGAAAUAAAUUUGACUUUUAAUUCAAUACGAUAUAAGAUAAUUGAAGAGGGACAGAGGGAUCUCAUGUGUUUUGUUAAAUUGUGAAGGUGACGUACACAUUAAUCAACUCUUUAUAAAAGUGCAUUGCUUGUUAGGUCAGGAAUCAUUAGAGGGGUAAGGUAAGUAGGUGGUCUUGAAAUUACGAUAUCCAAAACAUAAUUUAUCAGUGUUUAGUAGCUUAUUCAUGUAAUUAAUUAUUUUUAUUUGCUUAUAUCCUGUAAUGAAAUUGAGAAAGUUGAGAAAAACUCUUCUAUCAGAAUUCAAAUGUCACAAAAAGCUGCUCAUCUUAUUUUACACUUGACAAAUAUGAAACCAAAAUUUUCCUUUUUUUUUUUCACUUGACAAUUGAGUGUUCGUACUCUAUAUCAAUAUUUGAUUAAUUACAUAAUUUAUUUUUUGAAUAUGAUGCCUCCAAUAAUUAAAAAAAAUUAUUCCUCGAGACUUGAAGCCAAACUUUUAAUUUAAGGGCGAAGGAUUUUCAAUCAUUCAAUCACAAUCUAUGUUUGUGAAAUCAACGGUUAAGACCACACUUGAUAUUCUUUUUGUAAAAUUCAAGGCUCGUCUUUUAAUAUUUAUUAUUUAGACCGGCAGGGUCGAUUAAAAGAGCUUUGAAUUAUAUCUAUUGCCAUGCUUUAAAUAGUAUUUUGUCAUGAUUUAUUUAUUUUCGUUAUUUUUAAUUUGUUUAACUUUGUGUCAAGGGUCUAUCUAAAGUAAUUCUCUACCUUUCGAGCAAAGUCGAGUCUCGAAUUUCUAUAACAUGAGGAUACCACUAAAAAAAAAGAAAAAAAAUAUAAUAUUUAGCGGAAAUUAAUCCCUAAUUGUUUAGGUGAUAACUCAACAUUCAAUAAGUGAAGAAUUAAACCUUCUUGUAGCAGAUAAUAUUAAAGUUAAUAACUUAAAGAGAUAAUACCCACGAAAAUAUCUGAACUUUAACCAAAUUUUCAGUUGAGCAUAUUGAAUUUUGCGGGGAUCCUAUUACACACCUCUAUAUUUUUAAGUGGAAUUAAUUCCCCCUCGGACUUUUUUAAAGUGGAAUUAAUUGUCUCCCGUAAAGUUAUACCCAGUUUUGACGUCGAAAAGUGUGGUACACGCGCUAUUUCUUCUCCAUUUUAUCACUUUUCAACAUUUUUUUCACCAUUAUAACCAUAUUAAAGAUUCCAUAACUCAAAUUCCUCCUACAAAUCAAAUUCCAAAUGAUUCCGUCCAUUCCAACUCAAAUUUCAAAUUCAAAUUGAAAACUUUCAUUAAUGAAAUCUUCAAAUUUGGAAAUUGAAAAUGGAAACUGAAAAUGAAAAAACAGGAAACUAGAAACUGAUUUGCAGGGUUAGACUCUUCAGCUGCUCUGUGGUAAACUUGAAGGGAACCAAGCUCCUUUGCGUUCAGUAAUUAGAGGCCACAUGGUACCUCAAGAGAGCACAGCUCCCAGAAGCAAAGAUAUGUUCACAAUGUGGGAACAAAUCAUUCCAGCCCCCACAUAAGUCCUGUCGAAAUCGAAGAAAAAACUGAAAACAUUCAAUGGUAUAAAUUAGUGCUAGUAGUAAUGCAAAGUCAUUCAUGAGCCGCUAAAAAUAUAUAGCAAGUACAUACGUUUGCUUCCAAGCUUUCAACCCAGACGUGGGGAAGUUUUCAAAUCCACAUUGAACUCCACCAGAGUAGAACCACUGAAAGAAACUCCAUAAGAAGCUGGAUGAGAAAACUUUCAAGAAUCCUUUAACCUGUUUCCUGAAAAUUUGACGAACACAAUUUUCAUUUCUCAAGAAAAGCUACUGUGCCAAGGCAAGUUCUUCCUAAUCACCAUGAUCCUGCAUACCUGGCCAAUUUAUCUCCCUUGGGUAUAUGAAAUUGAAUUUGAAUUUGAAUUUAAAAUUAUUCAAAGUAUCAAAUUGAAUUUGGGUGUGUUGAAGAUGACUCAUUUGGAUGUGUAUAGUGUAAUUGUGUUCAAUUUUAAUUCAAUAAUGGAGCAAACAUUGUUAAAGACUCCAUUGUUGAAGAGAAAAAAGAGAGAAGAGAGAAGAGAAAGAAUGAACAAAAAAAAAAAACUUUGAAUAAUUAGAAAAUUUAGGGAUUGUCUGGCAAAAAAAAUGAGUUUAUAACGUUUUUUAACGUCUUCACACGCUCAAUGCGCGUGUUUAACACGCAAUUGUCCAAGUGACAGAUAUAUGUCAUUAAAAUAUAAAAAAAAAAAUCUAGGGGUAAUAGGAUCCCCGCAAAGUUCAGUAUGCUCAAAUGGUAAUUCGGUCAAAGUUCAGGUAUUUUCGUAGGUAUUAUCCCUAACUUAAAUGGUCACUCAACUUUGGACUUUUAUCCUAGAAAGUCACUUAACUUUGAACUUUACUCAGAAUGUCACUCAACUUUAGAUGUCUUACUAAAAAAGUCACCCAAUCCAUUUUAUUAUUUUUUUAAAACUAAUUUUUGCUAAUGUGAAUUUUUUUUAAUAACAAAAUUCUGAAAAAUACAAAAUAUUUAUUUAAUAAUCCUUUUACCCUUUCUUUCAUCUCUAUUUCUUUCAUUUGAUAACCUACCUACAUUUAAGCUUGAGAGCCUAUAGUAUUUCAAUAGUUAAUCUUUAGUUCAUAUGAUCUAAAGUUAUUUUCUUAAUUGAGAAUUUUUAGUUAUUGUGUUUGUAAUUCUUUAUUACAUUUUUGUUCAUAAAUUAUGUUCACACGUGAUAAAUUUUUUCUUAUUAAAUUAGGUUCAUAUUAAUUAGAAAUUUUAAGUUGGUUGAUUGAUCUGUGAAUUACCUAACCUCAUAAUUCAAGGGGUCAGUAUUCUUUCUCUUAUAUCUCAUUGACUUUUCACGCAUCCCUCUUCAUUAUGAUUUUGUAGGCUUUCCACUUAACUUUUGGUUUCUGAAAAGUUAUUCUAUUUUGGUUAGUCAAAGAAGUUUGUUUUUCACAUAAUAGCGUAGCUGUAUAUAUUUGCACAAAUUUUUGAGAUUUUUUUUUGAAAGUUAGUCACGUAAUAGUCCUUUUUCUCAUGAAACAAAUACAAGUUCUAACCCUUUAUUAUUUGAGAUUCAUUUGUUGUUCUUCGUUUCAUCUUUAAAAGUAAAUUUUUGAGACACAACCAUAAAUCGAGAUAAGAAGGAGAGGAGAAAUUUCUAAUUAGAAAAAGAGGAAAGAGGAAAAGCAGGAAGGAAGCUAGAAAUCUAACUCAAGGGAAAUGAAGGAUAAAAGGGUAAAAGAGUCAUUAAAUGAAUUUUUUAUAUUUUUUAAAAUUUUGUUAUUAAAGGAAAUUCCACAAUAAGUAAAAAUUAGUUUAAAAAAUAAUAAAAUGAGUUGAGUGACUUUCUGAGUAAAAUAUCUAAAGUUAAGUGAUUUUCUAAGUAAAGUUUAAAGUUAAGUGACUUUUGAGGAUAAAAAUUCAAAGUUGAGUGACCAUUUAAGUUAUUAACUCGAUAAUAUUAUAUGUACUAAUUUUAGAAAAUAUAUACAUCAAAUACUUCUCCAAAGAAAGGGAUUCCCCAAAGAAGAGUAAAAUGUAUGGUCUAUCUUUUUUAACUCCACUUAUAAAAUUACAUUAGAUAUAUUAUUAUUAUCGUAACAAAUCUCAUGUAUUUCAUUUUCAAACCUUUUUCUUUUCUUUUCGAUCUUUUUCUUAUCUCUUGUGAAAAGAAUGAUACAACUACAGUCAUAUUUUUAUAUAGGAUCACAAAAUCAAAUUACAUAUAAUAAAUUAAACUAACUGGAAAUAUGAUUUCUGAAAGGGGGAGGAGGUAGUUGAUUAGUUAACGCUAACGAGCUGAGAAUAAUCAAAACCAUUGCCAAGGGUACGUUGUGGUGGAUUGAAAUAAUCCAUCCACUCUUACUCAAAAGCUUGGGUUGGAGCUUUGGAAAAGAAAAAAGAUGUAGUAUUCCUUUUCUAUUCUUUAUUUGUUCACAUUUAAUUUGAAAUAUCUCUCGAGAAACAACAAACAAAAGAGCAGUUUUAUCAUACCAUUUUUAGUCACGAUAAAUUAUCUUUGAUUUUUUUAAUAGCCAUGUAAAAUUGAACAAUUAUUUUUAAUACAUAUGACAAAUAAAGAUAAACGAAGGGAGUAAGAACUUUUCUUUAGGAGGGAAANNNNNNNNNNGGAAAGAGUCAAAAACACCUUAACUAUCCUAUUCUUUGUUUUGAGUUUCACACCUAAAAUUAUUGAAAGUUUGAUUGAGUUUCAUGCUUACUCCCACUCUAUAAUUAGAGAAACACAACUACUACUCUUUUAAAAGGAUUGAAACACUUUCUUUAAUGAAUUUCAAUAAAUCACCGUCCGAUGCGUUAAAGUUCUCCACCAUAAGCAAAGAAAGAGUCGGGCUGGCCUCAUUGUACAUUUUUGCAAGGCUAUUUCCAUGAUUUUAACCGGUGACCUCUCGACUAAUUCAGAAUUCCUCGCGGUUUAUUGGAGGGGUCGUCUGGACCAUUAUUGUGAUAUUUAUUUCAACAAUCCUCCAUAUUGCUCCAGAGCUGCAUGACAAGUAGAAAAAUUAUCAAUACUAGAAACUAGAAAGUUGUAAUAUAAUAUAAUAUUCAAGAAUGAACCAUCAAAGCAUGUGGUGCAGCUGAUGGAGAUGUUCCUUCCUUAACCAGAAAUCUCGAAUUCGACCCCGGGUAUAGAAAAAUCCUUCGUAGGGAGCGCUUCACCCGAAAAGCUGUGCGAAUCCAGAUUAGUCUGGCUUCAAUACGGGUACCGGACAUCUAAUGAGAAACCAAAAAUAAAUAAAUAUUCAAGAACGAAAGCCAAAAGAACUUGGAACUGGAACUUGUGAUCCAAAUUUGAAUAUGGUAAAACUAGGAAAGCCAGAGUUAUCUGAACUCAAACCCCCAAAGCUGCUCUUUAAUUAAGCUGCAAUUAUAGCAGCAUAGCUACAUGAGCAGCCAUUGAGGGAGAGAGUUCAGAAAACUCUGAAUUUCCAUUAAUGUCUCUUGCACAUAAUUUAAACUUUGUACGUAAAAAAAAAAUGCACAUAUAACUAAUUAAAGAGGAGCUAGAUUGAGAGUUCACGUAGAGGUAGCAAUCUAUUUAUAGGUAAUUUUGGGCCAACUUAAUUACUUAAUAUUUAAUUUUAUAUAUGUAUAUGUCUGGAAAUCAAGUAAAUAUAUUAAAAUGUGAGCAUUGUAUUUUUGCUGCUUCCUUUUGUUCUUUUGUAAAGGAAGUGUUACUGCUGAUGAAAUUGCCUCCACGACUACAAGUCUGAUACUAAAAGAAAAUUACCAAGGAACUUCACGUUAUGUUCCUUCCUAGAAUGUACUGUGAAAAUUCUAACAAAAUUAAUUGGAAAUUAAUUAAGAAAAUGUAAUUCCAGGUGAACAUUACUUCUCACUGAUAUGGAUUAAAAUAGACCACUCUUUCCCCUUUCUUCUCUUCUUCUUGUUUUCUAUUUCUACCCCGUUUAUAAUUUUAUUGUUCUCUUGUUAAAUUAUAAGUAUCAAACAUGUUAUUAUUGUGUUAUAGUUUAAAAAGAAUUCUACAGAGUGAUACUUGACCAAACUUCAUUAUAAGUAAUUACCUUUUAGUAAUUUGAUAAUAUUUUACAUCAAUGCUAUAAUAUUUGAUGUAGAUUGAAACGAAGAAAGUAUUAUUUAUGGCCAAACGAAUUUAGUACUUUAUCUGUUUUAAUUUGUUUAUCUUAUUUUGUUUUGAUAUGAAGUUUAAGAAAAUUAGUAGAACUUUUGAAUCUUGUUAUUUUGAACUAAAAAUAUGUCCAAUUUACCAAAAUGGGAUGAAUUACAAUGAAGCAAAACUCCUUUAUUUACAGGGGAAAACUAACCUUGAGGUUUGUAACUUUUCGAUAAAUAGAUAUACACAAUAUAUGAUAAACUAGGUAUUCACUAUAUAUGGUAAAGUAGACAUUUAUUAUAUAUGGUAUAUUUAUAACACUCCCCUUGAAUGUCUAGUUGGUAGAUAAUGUGUCUCGUUAAACUUUACUAGAAAAAACCAGUGGAAAAAAAAUCUAGUGAAGGAAAAAAAGUACACAUCUCUAACAAUACGCAUAUAGGCUGCCUCAUUAAAAACCUUAUAAGGAAAACUCAGUGGGACAAAACCUCAUAAUUGAAAAAGAGUACAACGUGUAUUAAUUCCCCCUAAUGAAAUCAUCCUUGAACCUUUGCAUCCCGACCUUGUACACCAUCUUCUUGAAAGUUGCAAUUGAAGGAGACUUGGUGAAUAAAACAACCACAUUGUCACUUGAACAAAUCCAUUGCACGUUAAUAUCACCAUUAAUAUCACCAUUAUGUUGGUGCUCAUGUAUGUAGAAAAAUUUUGAUGAAGUGUGCUUCGUUCUAUCUCUUUUUAUGAAUCCUCCAUCAAAAUGUGUUAUGCAUGUUGCAUUAUUUUCAUAUAAAAUUGUGGGUACAUUGUCACAUUUCAUGCCACAUUUUUCUCGAAUGAGAUGUCUCAUGGAUCUCAACCAUACUCAUUCUCGGUUUGCUUCAUGAAUAGCUAUUAUUUCAUCAUGGUUCAAUAAAGUGUCUAGAUAGACUGCUUUGUAUAUCUCUAAGAUAUGACAAUAUCCCCACAUGUGAACACAUUGUAUAUUUGAGACCGAGCUUUAUGCGGGUUAAAUAAAUACCCAACAUCAGCAUAACCAAUAAGAUCGAGACUGCAAUCUUUAGAAUAAAACAAGCUCAUAUGUUUGAUCUCAUUUCGAUGUAUCCUAGUAGGAGUAGAACUAUACCUUGCUAACAUAUUAACCGAAAAGGCUAUAGGCCUUUUAGUAUUUGCAAGGUACAGGAGUGCACCAAUUGCACUAAGAUAUGAUACUUCAUAACCAAUCCAAAUUGGUAUAUUUCUCAUUUCAGCAAAUAAUCUAUUUGCUUUUGAAAACUCUCCAAGAGUUUCAAUAAUUUUCAAGCUAUAAGCUUAUACAAUAUAAGGAUUCUAAAUAAGUUUUCGAGAAACUUUUAUAUGCUUCAAGUAUUUUGAAUCCUUAAAAGUUUUUCACAUAAGAUUUGUCAAGUAACAAUAUCCUGUUGGGUUCAAAAUCGAGAGGGCGUCAUGCGAAAGCUUAAAGUUUGCAAACCUUGAGACAAUAAAUUAGACAACAAAGAAAAUGAUACUAAAAAGCAUUAAAUUAUUAUAUGUUUUGACCAAUUGGCCUACAUAUUAUAAAACCUAAUAUCAAAAAACAUUAAACUUAUUGGGAGAAAUCUCCCCCUAAACAAAGACUCUUUAAAAACUACAUUGUGGAUGCUGUUGUGUUAUGAUAUGAGAAAAGGGUCUUCUAUUUAUAGGGUUCCAAAACCUUUCCUCCAAGAAAGAGGUUAGUCAAAUAUGAAAAAGUUUUAUAGUUUCUUUUCAGAAAAAAUAAAAGUAAAUAUGGUUACUCUUAUUAGUAAAUAUGGUUACUCUUAUUUUCCGUUUAAGAAAAAGUAAAACUUAAUUUUGGUAAGAAAAUCAGGGCAAAACCCCAACAUAUCCAACAUUUCAUGAGCGACAUCUUCAAGUGUCUGGAGUGCAAAUCAAAUAAGUUUUACGCUUACCAAAAUGCAUCAUUUCAUGUCACUUGAUAAUGUUUCUACGUCAGCAUGCUUAAAUAAACGUAGAAUUCAGAUCCUCGUAAUCUUCACAAUAUUGCACCAAUAUUGUAUCAAAGAUAUCGUCAAUGAUAUAUCAUUUUAUAUCGGUUCACAAUGUGACAUAACAUUUUGAGAUCUCAUCACUUCAUUAUUUUCAGGUACCUGAACCUUUCAUAAGGUUUAAGGAAGUGUUAUGUUGUAGACUCUUCAAAAGCACAUUACGUUCUUAUUAUGAUUAUUUGCUCUUUAUCCUUUUCAAGGAUUAUUUCAUUUAGAACCGAUUGGUCUAUAAUACUUCACACAUGCAUAAACUUUAUCCUUUAGGAACACAAAAUAAGAGUACUUGCACUUAAUAUGAGAUGUUUUCGGCAUUUGACUUGAAUUAUCUUUUGGAUGAAGAUCUGGUGAUAAUUCCCAACAUAUUUCAUAGCGCUUAUAAUCUCCUCCUUAUGUUAGGAAAACUAACAUACAUCCAUUACUUCUUUGAGGAAUCCAUCUUUGUGCAUUAUGGUAUAUUCAUUAAUCGUAUACCGCACAUCAAAAUUAUUAGAUGGAAUAAUCGGUUCCCGACCUUGAACCAAUUGAGAGGGAAAAAAUAAUCAUAAUUUAUUGGUCUAAUGCAUACAAGUGCUAUUGCAAUAUAUCAUAUUUCAGACCAAUACAUGAAGUUUUGUUCUCAUUAACAAUGGUUUAGAUAUUUAUUGAAGACAUUCAAUGCUCAACCAUUAUCAUCAAGAUGAAUUAUCUUGAUUACACAAUCUGAAAGUCAUGCUUAACUCAAUUUUAUUGAGCAAGCAACUUUAUGAAUGUCAAACUGCAGGUUGACAAUAAAUGUACAUGUGAUCAUCUUAUUGAUGCAUCAUUUUAACACAUCACAUGAUAGAUGAACUCAGAUUUACUAUUACAUGAAUAAAUUUCAGAUUUACUACUUCAGAAGUAGAUUUCAAAAUUAUUCAACCUCUUUCGGAGGUGAGGUUAUUCAACGACAAAAUCAUUUAAUAAGUUUCUCAUUCCCCAGUAAUGGAAUAUAAUCAUGCCUUAAGCCUAUCAAAGUAUAAUAACUUAUAACCUCUUUCAAGAUUUUGCUACUUCAGAAGCAAAUCAAGGCAUAUAUAUGAUGUAGAGAAUUUUUCUCUAGCAUAUCUUAUAAUCAUAUAAGCGUGUGAAAAUAUCAUCACUUUUGAUGAUCAUUAUCAUACUGUCUCUCUACACGUAUAUUCGUACAUUCAAUCACUUGUCUUCUUUCGGAUAUAUUAUGUACUGCUACCACAUACACCUCAAAAAUGAAGUAAGUUGUCAUAUUUCAGACUUAUCAUAUAUUGCUACCACAUUCACUUCAUGAAAUGGAGCAUAUUCAAUGGAUCGAAUUUCAUGACUUUUCACCCAAUAUCUUAUCAUCAUAAUGCAUCAAGACUUUAACUCAAUAUCUUUUUGAUGUGAUGAUUAUUCAGUUCACCAUGUUACCCUCGAUUAGUGACAUAAUAGUCUAGAGUAUAAUAGUGCAACUCAAUUAGAAAUAACUUAAACAUGAUAAAAAAAAUUUAGAAAGUACGUAUGUACUCGUUAGUUGGUGCAAAAACACUAUACAGAAACUUGAAAAUUGAUUAUAAAAGCUGUCAAAGAAUUAUAAACAAACUUUUAAAAAUCAACUAAAGCCAAUGUGAUGACAGCAUAUUAUUAAUAUUUUAUUCCUGUGAGUGGCCGUCCAUCUUAUCAUAAAUGCAUAUCUUACCAUAAUUUUGUGUGCUUCACUUGGAGCACACAGUGAUCAAUUUCAUAGACUCGUGUUGGUUGCUUGGUUGAGAAGAAACUUCACACAUUUCAUCAACAAGUUCAGUAGUAGGCUCGUGUUGGUUGCUUGACAUGUUAAUGAUCAAACAUGUUAAGCCGAUUGAAAAUAUUUGACGGCUUUAUCUCAAUUACUCAAUUGGUUACAGUUUCGUGCUGAUAACGUGUUAUAAAACAAGAAAGAAUAAAGAAGAGUAGAAAGAAUAGAGAGAGUAAUUUUUAUUUCUCUUGAGGGAUCUCUCGAUGGGAUAAUUACAAUGAAGCAAAACCCCUUUAUUUAUAGGGAAAAACUAACCUUGAGGUUUGUAGUUUUUUUUAUAAAUGAACAUACACAAUAUAUGAUAAAGUAGGUAUUCACUAUAUAUGGUAAAGUAGACAUUCACUAUAUAUGGUAUUUUUAUAACACCUAGGAACGAAUUUUGAAAAAACCAACUAAUCUGUGUAAUGACCCCCGAGCUGGCUCUUUUAUUUUUGAACCUGGCUAAUUUAUAUAUCUGUAAAAAAAAAAACUAUAUUUACAUUAAAGACUGAGAAAAAGUCCCACAACAACUGCGGUUAAUUAGAUGAAUGAUCUCUUUACAAUGCGUGACAAUUCUCUUCCAUUCGAACUAACUUUUUUGGUGUGAGUUAAGCUCAAAAUCUAAUUUUACAUCAUAUUAGAAAAGGACCCAUCUCACGUUGAGACUCCAAAUUAAAAAUUACCCAUGCAUCAGAUGACGACAUGAGGUGAGGUGUUAAAGAAUGAAAAAAGUACCACACUGAUAGUUGUGUGGGUUAGACCUAAAACCUAAUUUUACAGGUCGUUUAGAGAAACUGGGCUGGACAGGGUCUUGAUCUUACAUGGGCUUUAAGUGGAAAUUAGGUCGGCCCGGCCCAUUUAAUGUUGCAAUCUAUCAGUCAAUCUCAAAUGGGAAUUUCUGUCGGCCGUCGCUAUCUUUACCUACGUGCUGAAUAGUGAGCAGUUACUCACCAUUUUGUGUGACCUGAUUUGGAGGAUCAGUUCAUUUUUUCCGUAUGAAUUUGAACAUUGAAUAUUCUAAUUUUUUUUAAUAUUUAGAAAUUAUUAUACAAAAAUACUACAGCCUUAAGACACAAUAGUUAAUUACUUAAAUUAUUUAAAAGUAUUUUGAAAAUGUGAUAAAAGAAAAUAGUAACUACUGGUUUAAGGAAAAAAAAAGAAGAAAAUAUUGACUUAUAACAUCCUCGGAGAUACCCCAGAUUUACUGUUUACUACCUUUUUUUUUUACAUUAUCUUAUUAACAGAUUAUGUGCAUGUUAUACAUAGAUUAUAUAUACAUAUAUUAUAUAUUCACAAGCUAUUUUUAAUUUAACUAGUUGAGUGUGUGCUUAUUCAAUUUAAUUCUCCAGAAUGUAUAUUUAAUAAUGGAAACACUAUAUAUGCACACUUUUGCUACUCUAUAAAUCAUUCAUCUUUUAAGUUUCAAGAAUUUUUUGACCUUUUAGCAGACAGAAAUAGCGUCUUUAAUUUGCUUUUCAUGAUAAUUGUUUGAAGAGUAACUCAUAAUGUUUUGUAGAGCAUGGUUGUGAAUCAGAAAAUAACAUUGUCUCGAUAUAUAAGAUAAAGUUAAUUAUUAAUCAGAAGAACUUUUUAGAUUCAUAUUUUACCAAAAAAAAUAAUUUAAUAGAGGAUUGGAACUUGUGAAGAGAGGUAGAAGCAUCAAUUCUGCGCUGACGCUCGUUUUUCCAAUGUAUUGUCAAUAUCCAUUCUGAGGGUUGUUACUAUAUGUGCAUGUCUUAUCUCUUUUAGAUCUGUUUUUUUUUUUUUAAAUGUUAUUUUUAUAUGUUGGUAUCUUCUUAAAUUUAGCAUUUCAAAUGCCACAAGAUUCAAAGAACGUUUUUGUGUGUUAAACACAUCCUUAGUUUUAGGUCGCCAAAAUUCAAAAAUCAUUUUUACUUUCUUAAAUACAAAAUUAGUUUUAGGUCGAUAAAAUUCAAAAGUAUUUUUUACUUUCAUAAAUUCCUCAUGCUUAGUCUAACUAAUAAGACACAUUUUAAUAUAGCUAGGGCGCAUGCAAGUGCUUUUGUUCUGAUUCUGAAAAUUUCCACAUAGCUUUAAGGCUUUUCAGAUCCAAUCACUCACAUAUAUAGCUGACUAAUUAAAGAGGGGGAAUUAAAUUAAGCCCUAGUUAUGCAGCAAAAAUGAUUUUAAACAUUACCAUUAUGUUUAGUUCAGUGGAUCAGUUAGCUAGUUACUUCAUUUACAGUUAAUUUGUAAUAACUAAAAUGAACUUAAGUUAAAACCAAUUUUUGAAGAAAUAUUAAAAGGUACUAGGUUGAGUCCGACAUUUUAUUUUAAAAAGUAGGUUCACAAUGAAACUCAACUGUUUUCUAGGGUUACUUUUAUAUAUAUAAAAUAAAAUUUUAAAGGAAUCACAUCGUUUUCGUAAUGUCCAGACUUUUUCGUUACUCUCCCCAUUUUUUUUAAUACGUGUCCUUCAUUUUUUGUGAGUCAAUUUAGUUAAGUUUCAAAGUUAAAUUAAAUUUGAUUAAUUUAACUGUUUAAAAUUAAAAUUCAAAAGCAAUAUGCAAAGCACUAUAACUUAUAAUUUUUCUUUUUUCUUUUUCAAUUUGAUUAAUAAUACUUCUUAAAAUGUUGGUCAAAAUUUAUAUUGUUUGGCUCUAAAAAGAAAAAAGAGUAUAUAAAAAAGAAUGGAGGAAGUAAUAUUUAAACGACUACCUUUGUACUAGUACCUUUUUCUUGAUAUUGAUCAGAAAAUGACAAAUAAAAAGAGCUUUUAAUUACUGUCUGAUUGGAUGCAGAAAUAAAAUAAUACUAUUUAAAAUUAAGUAUUUACAUAUUUAUGUGUUUUAAAUACAUUGUAGAAUAAUUAGACUUUGUGUGAAUAUAAUUAUCUUCUAAAAGAUAAAAUGAGUACUUUGAAGUUAAUUUUUUUUUUAAAAUCAAUUUGUUUGUCUUAAUUUUAUUUGCACAUGGUUUAAAAAGUAAAAGAAAUAUUUUUAAAUUUUAUAAUCUUAAAUAAAAGAUAGUAUGUAUAAUGUACUAAAUAACCUUUAAUCUUGUGAUUUUAAGCACAACAUAUAAAAUGGUAAAAUCAAACCGAGUCACAUAAACUCAGACCGAAAGAGUGUUCAUGGUAUCAAAUAUAAUUCUUCAAUAUAUAGGAACUAAUAUAUCCCUUCGUUUAAAAAAAUAAUUGAAUUUUAUAAUUUUAAAUUUAAAAUAUAUGAAGUGUAUUAAAAUGAUAUUUAAUCUAAGAUGACUCUAGUGGUCUUAAAUACAUGAGGUAAAAGUUAAAAUUAAAGUGUUUCCAAAGAGAUGGAGCAUGAUUUUUGAAGGAGUAGAGUUAAUUAGUUGACUGGUUAUUUGACUUAUAAUUGGGAGAUGAAAGAAGAAUCGAAAACUAUCAUAUUCUAGCUCUUAUUAUGAAUGAAGCAGUAUUUUGUACAGUAUAAUUUUACAGGAAGAAAUUUUAAUUGAACCUAUAAUUCUUCAAAAUGAGCUUUGCAACUGUGCCAUUAGCUGUGCAUGAUAAGCAGAAGAUCAAUUUAAAAGUGGUAAUUAAUAUAAUAAUAUUCCAGGAUAUAUAAGACAAAAAUUAAAAAAGUAUGUGUAAGGAACUUACUGUACGAACUUAGCCUUUGGCCUGGCAAUAGUGAAUUGAUCUGAAAACUAGGAAGGCCAGAGUUUCCUGAACUCAAUCUCUCAUGGCUGUUCUUUAAUUAACAUAUAUACGAGCAGCCAUUGAGGGAGAGAGUUCAGAAAACGCUGGAUUUCCAUUAAUGUCUGCGCGCACUCUAGCGGCGAAUCACUUCUGAAUUCGUAUAAAGUUAAUGUAAAAAGAAGCAUAUACACAUAUAUAAGCUUUGUAUCUAUAUAUGUGUACUGUUGAAUAUAUUAGCCUAUAAGGUAGAACUGAACUGAGGAGGAAUCAAGUAGCUUGGGAGUUGUGGCUAAUGAACUAUUUAUAGGGUAUGUCCCAGCCAAUUAAUUUACUCCUCAAUAUAUUCUAUUGUUGUUUCGAAAUUGGAGAAAUAGUAUAUAUAUUUAAUAUUAAAUUAAAAAGUAUAGCUGUAACCUUGUUCAUUCCAGCCCUCCGUUAACUAUAUUUUUCCUUUUUUUUUUUUUACAAGAAAGUGUUGCGGUGUGGUUUAGGUAAAUCCCACUUUAAUGUAAUAGCCUGCCAAUUAUACCUGAGAUGCAAAUUAAACUAGACAAAUUAUGUACGAAGAUCAGAACCCAAAAACUUAUGUAGGCGAUAUUGAACUUAACAACCCCCCUCCUCAAUCAACUCACCAUCUGUUGGAACUUUGAAGUUUUGAUGAAUGACAAUAUUAAUGAAACAAGUUGAUAUGAGUUAAUUCAGUGCAACCGGAAACUUCAACUUACUGAUGGAACCUUGAAGUUUUGAUGAAUGAAAAUAUGAAUGAAACAAGUUGAUAUGAGUUAAUUCAGUUCAACCGGAAACUUCAACUUACUGAUCACAUGAGGAAUAAAACAAGUUGAAUUUGAUUCAAACACUUAUGAUAAGGGAAAGCAAGUUGAGUUGAAAAAGGAGUCCUACGUAAAGAAGGAGUUUCACUUCUGAGCAUAUCCUGAAGAGUCUAUGCUGAAGAGUCCUAUGUGUAAAAAGAGAAAGAUUCUACAGAUUGAAGAUGUCUACGCAAGAUAGGAAACAUAUAAAUUGAAGGACUCUUUGUUAGAUCAAUGAAGUGUUUGAUGACUGACACAUGAAUGGAACAUGUUACUUGACCUGGUCCAAGCAUAGGAAGGCAGGUUUCAGGUUUUACUGAUAGAUGCAGACAAAGAUUGCUGAAAGUCAGGAACGAAUGAGCAAGCCUAAUUCUGAUAUACUCAAGACACUGAUCACGUGAGAAAUUGAAGAGGUUGUGGUUGAGUAAAAUACUUGAAGAUAAGUUGAUUUAAAGAGUUGAAGUUUGACUACAACACUAAGGAGACAAGAGUUAGAAUUAAAGAAGGAGUCUCACCACCUACACGUCUUACUUUUACUGUUAUAUCGGAAGUUACUCCACGUAUUACUUGACGUAAAACGGAUAGUGGAUUUGAUUCUGUCUUUUGAUGAAUCUUUUUCACGGCUCGAUAGAUAAUUUGAUAAGCCAAUGAUUUUUUUUUAACUCUAUGUAAUGAGAGUUUUGAUUAAAGGAGGAGUUUAAAAUAAAGAAUGACUCUUUGGAGAGCUGUGCUUAAAUAGAAGAUGCAUCAUUCGGAGUAAUUCACGCACUUACAAAGCAGAAAAGCACAAUCGACAGAUUGACUACACGAAGUGCUAUUCAAUCACUGAAGAAACAUAUUGAAGAACCAGGUCCUAAGUAUAGAAUCCAGCUAAGAGUUUUAGCUAUGAUUUUUAGAGUUGUUCAUUGUGUUUGAGCUAUUGAUGUAAUAUUAGUUUCAGUGUGUUAUAAAAUGAAUUAGGAGAUAGUCUUCGAGUUGGGGAAAACUCAGAGACUUUGGGAACGCAUACCUUUGAGAGGUGUGUCUAGUUAGGAAUUAGAGUUUAUAAUUCCUAGUCGUUAAGUUAAAACGUUUUGUAAUCCGUCGUUGUUGAGGCUCAGAGUUAUUUAGUGAAGUUGGGAUUAAAUCCUGUAGAGGUGCAGGUCGUGGUUUUUUACACCUUUUGAGCUGGGUGUUUUUCACGUAAAAAUCAUUGUAUUCUUUACUUUCUGUUUUACUGCUUCCUUGAAGCACGUCAGUGUAACACGUCAGGCAACCCGUUCUAUCGAUAAAAAAAUCAUUGUAUUCUUUACUUUCUGUUUUACUGCUUCCUUGAAACACGUCAGGCAACCCGUUCCAUCGAUAAGCAACAGUUAGGCAAAAGUAAGAUAAUCAGUAGGACACGAACUCUAACACCAUCACCCAAAUAGUAAAGAAGAACGUGUUAUUGUUGGUUGAUAAACUUCUAAAGUCCCUCCAAAAAUCUGGUCCUCAAACAAAUUUACUAAGAAAUUUCACGUUAAAUACUUAUUAAAUAUCCCUUUGGAGAGGGAAUGGGGUACGAAAUUUCUGCCAAACUUGCACCUAAUUAAGAAAAGGUAAUUCCAGGCAACCAUUACGUGUCAUUGAUAGGGAUUACAAAUGGAGUGAUGGACCACUCUUUCUUCGUCUUAUUACUUUCUUUUUUUUUUUCUGUAAAUUUUCAUGCAUAUAUAUGAUGUUAUAUUCAUUUCAUUUUAUCUGUCUUAGUUUGAUUGGAAUAUUGUGAACAAAUUUUUUUGAGCAGUACCUUUUAAUUCUCUGUCUAGAAUUCGCCUUCAAUAAAUUGUGAAAGCACACUAUAAAAUGGGGGUUGGUUUUCCAAGUUCAAAGGAUCCUAGGACAAGAAAGUAAACCAAAAUAUGAGAGAUACCACUAUCAUAAGAGGAAUCGACUACUCUUUGGUGUCUUUGAGUUGACGAGGAUGUCCACGUUAAUUUGGAUUGACUUCUAAUUGUUAGGGUUUUUGUCCUGAUUUUUUUGCUAUAUUUAAAUUUUAUUUUUUCUUAGAAGGAAUAUAAAAGUUACCAUAAUUACUUUUACUGAAAGAAAAAAUAUAAUUCGUUUCCAUAUAACCUCUUUUUUGAGGAAAAGAUUUGGACAUCUAUAAAUAGAAUAUCCCUUCUCAUACCAUAACACAGUAGCAUCCACAAUGUAGUCAUUAAAGUCUUUGUUUAGGGGAUUUUCUUCCAAUAGAUUUUAAAUUUAUUUUAAUUUAGUUUUAAAUAUGUAGGCUAAUUGGUCAAAUCAUAUUCAAUAAUAUAUUUUUAGUAUGUUUUUUAUGUCAUUUGAAUUAUCACCACGAUAAUUUACAACUAAUAGCUUCCGCAUAACGCCCUCUCGAUUUCGAAACCCAACACUAAUUAAUAAACAAAAACAACACUUCAAUUUAAUUUAAUUUAAUCUCAGUAAUUUGUUGUGAAAAGUCUGGUUAAGACUUGCGACAAAUGGACCUCGGAUAAAUCUUUCUUUUCACAUAUAUAUGCCCUAGUUAUGCUCUGACAUUACUAAUAUCGAAGCUUAAAUCUUAAUAGACGAGACUUGUAUGGUUAUUAUAUUUAUCUACUCAUGUUACUAGUACUUUUGUUUUAAUUUUUUGUCCGAUUUUGAGUUGACACAAAGUUUAAGAAAGUGAAGAAAACUUUUAAAUACAUAUUUUUAAAUUAAAGAUAUAUAGAAAGUACUAGAUGUCCUUUAAUCUUGUCAUCUUAAACAUAAAACAUGCCAUGUAGAUAGUUAGAAUUAAAGAGUCGUUGAAAAAAGAAAUUGACAUUCUUUUUGAAACAAUUUUUUUUAAAAAAUAACUAAAACAAACAAAUUAAAAUAAAGAAAGUACCUAGUAAAAACUUAAACGCGUCCGCGGGUGUAUACACCAAACUAAAGUUUUUUAUCAUGGUUAAGUAAUUAAAUUAAAUAAAAUACAUGCUAAUUAAUUAUGAUUAAGUAACAUGAACUCAAAAUUCAAAUACAUGGUAUACAUGUAGCAAUUAUUAUGAACAGUUAGUUAUAGCUAUAUUUCAGUUUAUUUGAUAUAGUAUAUAAUAAAAUAGUCAUAAAUGUCGUGUCGUGGCAAGUCACUGUCUUGAAAGUGAUUGACUCCGGUGCAAAUCCUUCUAGCCGGUCGCUCCCAAAGUUCCACAGCUAUUUCCAAAUACGUGCAUUCGUGAUUGAAAGUUUGGAGGUUGCUCAAAAUUAUUGCCCAAAAGUAGAGAACUUAGGAGGAAGAUAUUUUUCUUUUACUUUGUUGGUGGUGUAUUUUUUAUUCUCAAAUAAAGUGGUUUAUAUAGGUAAAGAACAAAGGAUGUUACAAGAGUGAGUUAAUGGUGAAUUGAAUAAAGUUACUCCUCACCAAAUAAAUUUAUCCGUUCAAGGAAUGAAUUAACUUAUCUAGAACUAACUCAUCAAAUAAAUUCUUACGUUUAAGAAGAAUUGAAAACACACAGUUACAAAAGAAAUAAUAAGUUACAUUUUCUCACUAUGUAUCUUGUAAAUGUAUUUGAACUUCUCUUUUUGGAUAAGCUUAAAGAAGCUUUAGGUUUUGACUUUACAUUCUAACCAUUUAUUAAAAAUGCUUUCAACCAGCACUUAUACUUGUAACUACAUAAGUGGUCCAAGUUACCUGCUUAAAUCGCACUUAAUUGUUUUUGACAACCCUAAGAUACAAACUCUUAUUUGCUAAAAAAAAUGUUUUGCAUGAAUUGAUUUUGCUAUUUGCUAGGCCCAAUCAUAAUAUCUGAACUAUUUUCUUAACUAAAAAGAAAAAAACCUUGGAAUUCUUGUUAUGGUUAUUGUGCAAGCUCUCUUGUCUUGUUAUAAUUUGAAAUAUUGGCGUCUAAAAUCUAAAUUUAUGCAUGGCUCGUUGCUUUUUUCCCUUUUAAUUUGUCCAUUUAUAAAUUUGUAUCAUUAAAUUGGAAACCAACCGAAUUACAUAGUAACUCAUGUACUAUCCAAAGGGGUGCCAAUGCUCUAACGAUUAUAAGCAUCACAGACAAUCGGAUAUAUAGGUGGUUAAUUAAUUAGAGAGAUGCCAUAUUUUAUGGAUGGCAAAUCAGAAUUAUGUAGGACUUUAACAAAUAAUUAGACAAUGAAAUAUCAAAAGAAAACAGAAAAACUUUACCUGAUCAAUAAUACAAUCGCACCAAUUACUACUUACCAGAUUACUAUAGUCUAUAGAAUAUAUAUUGAGUUUCUUUCUGACUAAUAUAUAACAAAAGGAAGAAACCAAUAAAGUUCUAAAGGAACCUUUUCUUUUGGACUGUAUAUGCCUCCACCCCCCUCUUCCCACACACCCCACCCCCUCACCCCUUCCCUUUUUUUUCACUCGAUGUUUGAUAUUGUCAGGGAUGGAUCCAGGAUUUUCAGUGAGGGGGUUCAGUAGUACAUAUACGGAUUAAUCGAAGGGGGUUCAGCCUCUAUUAUUUAUGCAUAAUUUUUUUUUUUUUACCAUGUAAAAAUAGUAUAACUUUCCGACGAAGGGGGUUCGAAUGAACCCCCUGGAAUAUAUGUACAUCCACCACUGGAUAUUGCUAUUAGGGUCUGAUAAAAUUCAAAUUCACUCCAGAAAGUCCUAUAUUGAGGCCAAGCGGCUUCCUAGCAAAGGUUGCUCCAUACCUAGCAAGGCUCAACUCAAAGACCUUUGAUUAAACAUAAAGGACUACUUGGUGUUCGGAUUGUGAUAGACGAGAAUCAUGACUUUUAAAUGUUUUGACCUAAUAAUUAGUGCUUUUUACCUAAUGUGCGAGUUAAUAUGUAUAUUUUAUUUCAAAACACUUAGAGAUUCUAUAUCUAAAUUCACUGUCAAAAUUAAAAAGAUUUAUCUUUGAAAUUCAACCUAUAUGACACAUAAAUUAAGACAGGACGCGUAUACAUAUAGGUUAAACUACGUUGAUCGUGCACACGAAUUUUUGCUUCCAAAGCAUAUAUACUAUACCUUAAAUCCCAUAUGUAUGUUGGUACGUAUUCCUUCCUUCAUCCCAUGCAUGCAUGGUUUUUCUAUUUCCUUUUUGAAUACACUGUAAAAUGAUCUACAGAAAAGAGCAAGGCUUCAAGAGCCUCGCAAGCUUCCAACAUUUCAACGCCGCAGCAAAAGCAAAAACAGUAACUAGGUUAUUAUUAAUUAUCUGACAGGUAAUGCUUUGUGCAUCAAACUGUUUUUUUAAUACUACUUGCUAUAGUAGUAGUGAGCUGGAAGCUGAAAUAUUGGAAGCCUUUAAGGGCCAUUGAAAACUUCUCCAAUAUACUGAGAAAAAAAAAAAACAUCUCUUUUUGUUCUCACUGCUUGGCUCUUUGGAAGAACCAGCCAAGAAACUAACCAGAUGUAUAUAGCUAGGUCCAGAGCCUAUAGUAAUAGUAUUAAUUAUUGGACUCAUCAGUCUAAUAUUUGGUGAUCUAAUUUACCUGACAUCACAUGAGUACUGGAUUAUUACUUUAUCUAAUCACUACUUUAAUUUUAAUGACCAUGUAAAACAAGAUAGCCCUACGUGUCCCCAUUUGUCACUUCUAUAUAAAGUUUAAUUAAAGCCAUCCCACGUCCCAAUUUACAUGGGGAAAAACGUGAAGUAAAAUACCAGAAGGGUGCUCAUUCAUCAACUGAAGAGUCAAGAAUUAAAUAUGUUCUUGAAUUUUUUUCCAGCUGAAAAUUAAACAGGACUGGCUUAGGUAUAUAUAUCUUUAUUUAUUUAUUUUUUCUCUAGAGAUCUCCGACUUGAAGAUAUCCUAAGAUUGAAAAUCCUAAUAGCUCAGUUAAUUGAUUUACUAUAUGAAUUUUACUUUGUUAGUUAGAAUUGAUCAAUUUCCUAAUUCCCUAAUCCCUCCCCAUAAUAGUAAUGAAAAAAAAAAAAGUUCUGGGUUAAAGAAGUUGGCCACUACCUUGGGUAGAGUACGAGUCAAUAUCUAUGGGCCUGGAAAUCCACUGAUUUAUAUUUGUGUUAGUUUUCAAGCAGUAGGUAUUUGCCACCAUCACAUACUUUUUACACCCACUGUCCAUCGUUCUCUGGACCACAUUGUAUUUUUAUUUUUUAUACACCCUCAAACAGACAUGUGUUUUUGCUUUACUAAUUUUCUUUUUGGAUUUAAAAAAAGGAGUGGGGGAAGGAGAUGUACUCACCGUAAUUAUGAGAAAUUAAACCCUCACAAACAAGGUUGAAAUAGUUAAUCAACUAAGAUCCUCUUAUUGAAAUUUAAGUUAUAUAUACACCAUACAUAGUUUUCAAAAAAAAAAUCUGCAAUACUAACUAGCACCAUUCAAUCAAUUAUUAUAUGUUAUUGCGCUUUUUAUAGUAUCGGUUGCCAUAUUAAAUUUUUGGUGAGUAGUAACUUUUUGUUCAAACAAGAAGAAUAAUAUAUAUAGGAGUAUAUAAAAUCAUAAGUUUUAAAAGUAAACUAUCUUAUUUAAACAGUCCAGUCAAAUUAUGCCACGUAACUAAAGAUCCAUCAAGGGUCAUCAUCUAUUCCUAUGCCACCUCAGGGUGUCAAGUGGGUCGGGUACAAAUUGGCCCGGUGUGACCCGACCCAAUAAGCCCAAAGGCUUUAGGUAUCGGGUCCUGGGCCUUUUUUUAAAAUUUGAGCCCAAUUAACUCGGCCCGAACCAAGUUCAUUUCAGGCCCGUUGGUUAAUCGUUCCGGCUCGAUUUAAAAAAAUAAAAAUAAAAAUUGAAUUUUGGGUCAAACUGGCCGUUGGCCCAAUGACUAUAUAGCCGUUUUGGGGUCCGAACGGUUAAUUUGGGCCCAUUAAUUAAAAAAUAAAUACUUUUAAAAUAAUUUUUUAAUCCUAAAAUAAAUUCUAUAAAUACCCUACACCUUCAAAUCAUUUUUCACACAAUUUUUCACUCUCUCAAAUCUCAUUCUCUCUCAAUUCUCAAUUCUCAAAUAUUCAAUAUAUUGAAUUUCCUAAAGUGCUCACUUUAAUUUUGCGUUUACAAAGUACGAGUGGAAGUUUAUAAAUUCGCAAACUUCGGAUACUUUCAAAAUUUGGUAUUGUCGUUCCAUCUCUUACGUAUAAUUUUUAUUUAUUGUAUUAAUUGUUGAAUAUUUAAUUUUAUUAUAUUUGUAUAUUUUGAAUUUUUUUAGUUUAAUUUAAUUUAUACUAUGGAUAAAUUAAGAAACCUCACUACUAAAGGUGUUAAAAAAUUUUGUCCCGAAAAUGGUAGUGGUAGUAAAAAGCGAAUUACUAGUGGUAGAGGUACUUCAAGUAAUAGAUAUACCCAUAUGUCUUCGCCUCCGGUACUGCUUGGUACACCUUUUGAGGAAGAAAUAGGUAUAGGUGCUCACGAUAUAGAUUAUGUAGAAGCUCAGGAAAAUUACGGUAUAAAAGAAUAAAAUGAAGUAGAUGCGGUUAAUUUAGACGAAGAUGAUGAAAAUAUUGAUGAGACACCCGCAGUAAGAAAUGCUAACGUUAUAUCUGAAUCGGUUAAUCUCCCUCCCUAUCCUCCCUGUGCCCCAUAACUCGUAAAACAACUAGUAUUGCAUGACAAUUUUUUGAACGAAUAUCAGAUACUGAGGUGCAAUGUAAUAUUUGUCAACAAAUAUAUAAGCAUAAAAGCGGAGGCAAGCAAAGGUGUACGGAUACGUUAAUGAGACAUAUAGGUGAUGCUCACAAAAGAGAGUUAGAAAUUGCACGAGGUGGUGGCGAUGUUGAUGGGCCAACGCAAACUAGAAUGGACCCAGCAACCGAUCAGGUAAUGAAAAAGUAUAAUAAAUUGAGGGACCGAAAAGAAAUAGCUAAAAUGAUAGGUGUGGGUUCUUCUUCUGAUGCCUUUAUUCAUUGCAUUCAAACUAUUUAUAAUCCUAUGUUUAAUGGCGUUCCUAGAAGUACUUGUCGAUCUGAUAUUUUUAGACUUCAUUCACAAUAUUAUUUUUAUUUAUCAACAUUGUUAAAAAAUAUUCAAUGUAGAUUGUCCCUAACUUCUGAUCUUGAUCGCUCUGUAAAUUAAAAUGAUUAUUUAACCGUUACUUGUCACUGGAUGAAUAGUAAUUUUAUGAUGCAAAAACGUAUUCUUGCUUUUUUAUAUGAUGAAGACCAUAAAUAUACUGGAGAUUUUAUUGCUGAUUCUAUUGUUAAAAUUAUCGGAUUUUAUGGUAUCGAAAAUAAAAUCUUAUGUAUUGUUUUUGAUAAUGCUUCUAACAACAAGACUGCUAUAAAAAAAAAUUAUGUUAUCUCCGUCGUUGCCUGAAAUUUUUCAUAUUAAGUGUGCAUGCCAUUUUUAUAAUUUAAUUGUAAAAGAUGAUCUUGAAUUUUUUGAGCUUUAUAUUGAAAAAAUUCGUCUUGCUGUUGAUUUUAUUCAAGGAAAUAAUCAGAGAAAAAAAUUAGAGAAUUUAAAAUUAAAUGUCAGGAAAAUGGACUUGCACCGAUAUUGAUGUUUGGGAAAAUUGAUAUUAGAUGGAAUUCUACAUAUGAUUUUUUAAAAACUUGUUAUAAAUAUAGAGUUCUUAUUACACUAGCUUUUAACCAACAUUGCGGUUCAUUUACUGAUUCUGGUGAUUGCAUGCUACAUGAUUCUGAUUGGGUUGUAAUUAAUGAUCUUAUUAAGUUUUUAGAAAAAAUUUAUGUAGCUACGGUUGAAUUUUUCGGUGCGUAUUAUCCAAUUGUUUGUAAUAUUUUGAGAUAUAUAGCCAAUAUUUCUGGUUUGCUUAAAAAUAUAAAAAUAAAGAUGGUUAUAAAGAAGCUGUUAGUGCCAUGUUUACUAAAUUUAAAAAAUAUUUUUUGUCGAUUUCCCCUAUUACUUGGUUGGUGCUAUGUUAAAUCAGUGCAUUAAAUAUAAUACUAUGUGCCACUUUAGUACUAUUAUUUAUGCUAACUUAGAAAUAAAUACUAACAAUGAUUCUAAACAAGUACAACUUGAUUUGUGGACGGCUAUGAGUGAUGCGAAUGAAUACAUAGAAAAAUUAUACAAUUACUAUGCUGAUUUAUUUGACUUAGCCGUACCUACAAAUAUCUCUCCAACUGUCGCUCCUCAUCCUCCCAAGUAGCCAUCAUUUUCUAAAAGACCAGCACAUAGUGAUUUUCCUGAUUCCUUUUAUGAUUUACCUUGUUGGAACAGUGUUGAUGAAAGAACUUACACCUCAACUUAUCGGGAGAAGCUGAAAUAUUAUCUUUGGUUGCCACCCGAGGGGAUCAACACGUUGGAUUGGUAGAGGAGUGAUGAAACAUAAUAUCCUGUGCUUUCAAGAUUAGCUAGAGAUAUCUUGAAUGUUUCAAUGUCAACCGUUGUAUCAGAGAGCGUCUUUAGUCUGGGACGACAACAACUUAGAGACAACCGACACUAAUUGGGAAGCAAUGCAAUGAAUGUUCCAGUUUGCCUCAGAGAUUGGAUCAGAGCGGAAAGAAGAAACCAAGGAAUGGAACCGGAGCCGAGCGACGAGCUGAAACUUGAAGAAAUUAUGUCUUCACGGGAGAACUCAGCAGAAUCAAGUCCAAUGCAUGGUUUUACCCCCGUUGACUUUGACUAUCCUAUGCAAGUUUCCGCUAAUAUUAACAUGAAUGAGAUGAAAAAAAAUGAUGCAUAAUUUAUAGAUUUUUCAUUCAUGUAAAUUAUAAAUUUUGGAUCAUUUCGCAAUUCGCAAUCAAUUAAAUUCGACAUUCAUCAACUCUUUAGUCCUUACUUUAUAAUUUUUUUCAUUUAAUGAUUUAAAUUGAAUUUCUAGUUUAAAUUUAAAACUUACUUCUAAUAUAUUAUUAAUUUACCACCAAGUAUUAUUAAUAAUUUAUUAUAUUAAGUAGCAUAUGUUUUGUAUAUUUAUGUAUAUAUNNNNNNNNNNNNNNNNNNNNNNNNNNNNNNNNNNNNUUUUAUUUAAAGUAGUACAUAUAUAUUGAAUGGUGCGUAUAUUUGUGUGUAUAUCUUCUAUAGACGUGCAUAUUUAAUGUAUACAUGCAUAUGUGUUUUAUAAAUUAGUAUAUAACUAUAUAUAUACUAGUAUAUACAUAUAUUGUAGUAUAUGUUUUACUUAAAGUAGUACAUAUACAUUGAAUGGUGCAUAUCUCUGUGUGUAUAUCUUCUAUAGACGUGCAUAUUUAACGCAUAUAUGGGCAUAUAUUUUUUAAAUUAGUAUAUAACUCUAUAAUAUUUAUAUAUAUACUUAUAUAUAUUGUAGUAUAUAUAUGUUGUAAUAUAUGUUUUAUUUAAAAUAGUACGUGUAGUCGUAGUUAUUGAAUGGUGCAUAUAUAUGUGUAAUUGUGUACAUGUGUAUAUAUUUUUUAAAUUUUAAUGUAGUAUAUAUUAUAUAUAUAGUGUAUAUAUAUUGUUAACGUAUUUAAAAUGUAUAUAGGUGGAUAUAUAUUGUGUAUAUUGAAAAAAGUUUUUUUUUUUAAAUUUUUGACCGGGUUUGACCGAAUUUUUAAUCGGAUUUGACUGGGUUUAGUUGGAUUUGACCGAGUUGGGUUAAAUGAGCCGGGUUAGGGUGAUUUUUGAAAUUUUUACUGUUGAGCCUGGAUUAGCCCGGUCCACUUAAAACCAACCCGGCCCGGCCCACAACUCAAUUAAUUUGUAUAAAUAACACAAAUACCAACCUUUUAAAAGUAAUUACACUUUUUCUCAUUUUUUUAAUUAUUUUAUUCUCUCUCCCUAUUAAUGUAUAUAACAUAGCCGACAUAUACAUAACAUUCUGUCUAUAUGUGAAAUUUUUGUAAUAUAUUUAAAAAGUUGAGAUUUUUUGUAAUAUUGAAAACAUAAAUUGUGUAUUUAUGUAAUUUUUAAUAAUUUUAACGUCGAUCCACUUAACACCAACCCGACUCGGCCUAACCCACAACCCGAUUAAUUUUAACGGGCCGGUUCUGAAUUGUCCCGCUCACUUGACAGCCAUAAUGCCACCCAUAGUGGCAUUGAAUGGAGUGAGCUUCUUCAAGUGUGGUUUGAAUCGCUGCUAGUUUUAUAAAACAAGGUACAAGGAGAACUUCGUACAAAACACAGAACUAAGAUCCAACUACGAUCAGAAGUACAUAACAAAAAAAUCUAGUUAAUUUCGUUAAAUAUAUGCUCACUUAUGUAUUACUUGACUUGAUCCCUUUAAUUUCAAUGAUGCCCUAGUUAUCAACUUGAUUAAUGAGUGUCUGGCGGUCUAGCGGUAUGAUUCUAGCUAUUUUUAGUUUUUUUUUUUUAAAAAAAAAAAAUUGUCUGGACAAAUUCGUAGCAGAGGCUAAAACGUAAAUUAGAAAAAUAGACUUCAGCCGUCAUUGCCAAUUUCAAAACGGAUGAAUUAGCUGGUGAGUGGAUUCGUAGUUAUUCAACUAAUAUAUUUCAGACUUCUUGUGUGUUAAGAAAAGGCGAAAUAAACGUACCGUGUUCGAAGUGACAUAUUCUCAUAGGACCAAACUAACGCUAUUUAGGAUGUUUAAACAAUUAAAUUAAAUUAAAUACAUAUUAAUUAAUCAUAAUUAAAUAACAUAAAUUAAACUCUUAAAUUCAAACACUAGGUCAUGCAUACUAGACUUACAUGUACUAACUUAGUACAUGCACUCUCUGUUUUUAAUCCUUCUCAUCAGAGUACUGGUCAAAAGAGAUGGAUCCAUUUUAUUGAAGCAAGCAAAAUACAAUUAUUGAAGGUUCAUUCUUCUUUUAGACUUACAAAUUCAACCCAAAACUUGCUAUCUAGCCCUGUUUCUAGAAUUUCAAAGGCCAAAGCCAACAUAAGAUCAUUGAUUAACCGAAAACAUACAACUGCUGCUUGUUCAACUCUUUUAACAUAAUUAGCUGGAAAUACAUACAUAUCGGCAUUUCAUUUAUUAAUGCAACGCUAUAUAUACAUCUCUUCAAAAAGCAUGGAGAAAACGUCGCCAUCCUUGCACCUUCAAAGUACUCCCCAAUUGCAAAUCUUGGAUCCAAAAUGCAUAAAGCUUGCUACAAGCAAUUAUGCAUUCGGAUUCACUCCAACAGAUUGCAAUGUCUCAGUGUGAGGUUCCCUACAGUGACACCAAUAAAAUCAAGAUAUUAAAUCUUUAAUCUUGAAAUUUAAGUUCAAGACCACAAUAUUAAAAAGUUUCCUUUACUUCCAUCAUCGUGUUAAGCAAUUUUAUUUUUUUUAAAAAAAAAGUUUGGUGCACUAAGCUCCCAUUAUGGGCAGGAUCUGGAAAAGGGCCCAACCACAGAAAUGUAUGUAGUCUCACCUUCCAUUUUUCCAGGACUUCCCGAUCACAUGCAACUACUUUACCCGUUGCGCAGGUCCGAGAAAAGACCCAUUUCUGCAAGGUACUGUUUCCUAGGCUUGACAAAUUGAUCCAAACAAACAAAUAGAAAUGAUGGGAGUACUAAAGAAUCCAUUGGCCCGUGACAAACAUGGUAUCAAGGGCAAAUCUCAAAGGCAAUACGUGUCAUGUGCUUGACAUAUGACAAACAUGAUAUCAGAGCCUCGGUGGGAGGGAGGAAUCAACGUGAGGAAAUUGAAGUACUAGAAGCAUAUUGGAGUACCUCGCUAGAACAUCCCCACGGAUGGGAUCAGACAUGACAGACUGAUCAUCAAAAUCCUGAACAUGAGCCACCUUUCGAAAGAAAGAUUUCUUUAAGAACUUUUCUGAAUCAUCCACAACCUCCUCCGGUUCGGUGACUUCUGGUACAGUUUCCCUCCUUGAUUUCUUCAAGGACACGUUCGGCGCCCGCUUCAGCUGAUGCAUCGCUGUCUGUAAUCCAAAACCCAUCGAUAGCGCUAUUAGUCCAAGUGCCACGUACACUGGAACGAAAUCUCCUUUCAUGAAUCCCCUGUUUUCAAGCUAACAUCAACAUACUGCUUUUAUUUCACUUAAAAUGGAAAAUUUACAUUUUUAGUACCUCAGAUAUGUCAAGUGAUUUAACUAGCUAGGAAAGAAAGCACAUUAAUUAAUCACGGUUAAGAGCUAAAAGUCAUAGUACUAUUGGAAUUUAUCUAUUGAUUUGGGGUAAACAUCCUGUGGAAUUGAGUUCUUACCCUUUUGAUUCCUUUCAUGAAAUAUGUGUGUGUGUUCACUAGUUUAACAAGUGCUAAACCACUCAAUUAGCCUUGUAUAAUCUCAAGUUUGUAGUGGUACUCUACAUUUGACAGUAUCUAUAUAAAUACGUAUUUCUUAUAGAUACAUAUAAAGGGACUAAAAACAAACAUUUGCAAAUUAAAGUUUAGAUGUGCAUGGACAAAUAUUACAAGGACAUCAAAAUUGACCAACAAAUGAGGUACCCAUAUUGCAAUUGGCCCUUCUCUUUUUUUUUUUCUUUCUUUUUUUCUUUUUGGUAAUAGAGUUGCUAUAAACCAAAAUUCACCUGGGCUUGGCGUCUGGAUGCUCAGCAGUACUGGCAUAUGACCUCCAUUUGGUCCCAUUUGAUUUUGCAAAAGCAGAAUCUGCGGUAACACGAAUAGCCACAGAUUUCCACAAACUCUACAAAGUUGAACAAAAAUUUACAAUGAAUGUUUAACACACACGUUGAACAAUCAAAAUGUAACUCGACCAACUAAUUAAGUACUCCGUUUCCGUUUCAGAAAGAAGGAACUACUUGACAAAAAUAUUUUUUAAUCUUGCGACCUUAAAUUAAAAUUAUAUCAAAUAUAUCAAAAUACAUUGUAAUCUUGCGAUCCUAAAGCUGUCAUCUGGAAAGUUAAAAUUAAAAUAUUGAAAAAAACUGAUUUUUUUUUUUAAUGGACUAAAAAAAAUUGUAACUAGAAUUUGGACUUACCGAAGACCUGAAUGCCAUGAUGCAAAAUAUGAGUAGAAGAGUGAAUGAAGCACUAGCAGAGCAAAAUGAUAAAGUAAAGAGGGUUGGUUUUCACUGAUGAAGAGAUUUUUUUUUUUUAUGGUUAAUUGAUGAUAGAUCAUUAUAUAGUGAGGGAGACAUCGAUAGAUAAGUGCCACGAAGGGGUGUACAUGCAGAAUUAAGGACACUCGUCAGCAGCUAACAAGUCCACUUUGUGCUAGCGGUGACUCGUGUCUCAUGCUAACUAAAUAUACAUAAGUUUAUGUUUUUUCUUUUAUUUAUUUAUUUUUAUUGUUAUCCUCCUUUGACUGACAAACCCUUCUACUUCCCCAUAUUAGAUUGUUCCAAGUGGUUUAACAGAAUCUCAGUGAGAAGUACGCUUUGAAUUUUAAGUUAACAAGUGCAAAGAAAUAUAUAAAUGUGUCCAUGUAUUUUUAAUCCACGACACGUAGGUAGAAUCUAGGUACAUUCGAAUCAUUUUUAGACCUGCUUGUCAAAAUUCACUCGAUAUAUCAUUGUUAUUAAAAAAAUUAGAUACAAACUCUUAAUCUAAUGACACCUGAAGAAUACAUCAUUUAUAAUCUUGUUGACUCUUCAAAUAUAUAUAUAUGAAGAACGUCAAAAUCACACGUAUUCAAUUUUUUGCUAAAUCAGCGUAACUAAGGUAAUUUGGGUAUUUUCAUGUAGAAUUCUCAGGUAGUAAAUCAUUUCGAUGUAUUUUAACGAUCAAAAUUUUUUUACAAAAAAAAAGUUACAGUAAUAAAUAAAUUAUGAAAUGAAUCUUAACCUCAAAGGCUAACUUAAAAAAUGCGAAUUGCCCAAAUCGAUAUAAACAAACUACUCAUUCAUCCCUAAUCAAUGUGAAACUUUUACCCACUUUUAACAUAUACAAACACUCCUUUCGUCUUGCCUUAUAUCCUUGCUUCUAGUGCAUGGACACCAGAUAUAAUCAAAUCCUAAUAAUGCCUUCCACAAACUUAGAUGGAUAAAUUUUUUUGAAUGUAUAUGUAUACACACAUUGUAAAGCAGAAGCAGGUAUCUAAUUUUCUUUUCGCAAGUACUCAACAACAGAGUACUCCAAAGUCCUACGAUCCAUUGAGAUUUGACAAAGGCCAAAAAAAAAAGAUGACAUGGCAUUGGAAAGUAGCCGAAUUGCAUCAGAAUUGCUAUAGUAUUCACAAAUCUGCACUACAUAUAUUUGUAGUACUCAUGAACAUGCACAAUAGCAAGAUAUCACCACCAUGUAAACUUAAAACAUCUACACAUAUCUUACCUACUAGAAACUAUAUAUAUAUAUAUAUAUAUAUAUAUAUAAAUGGGUCAUACUCCAUAGUUAUUCACCAUCUUUGGAUCCUAUUACAGAAUUAAAUAUUACACUCUAAUUACAACCAAACUCCACAGUACAAGAAGGCCUAUGAUUUACAGCUUAUGGAUCCACUCCUAUAGUUUUUAACGUCUCCACGCCCGGCUUCCUGCAACACAAAUAUUCCUAAUAAGUACCAAUACCAUAUAAUAUAAAACUCAUAAAAAAAAUGGAGAAGAAACUGAAGAGCAAUUACUCUACGAGUAAACAUAAUACUCAUAACUUUACCAUACUAAUUAAGUACUAACUUGGUAUAAAUGUCGACUCGAGGAUUAGCACGUCUACUAACAACAUCCUGAAUGUGAGCCACCUUUCUGAAUAAAGAUUUGUUUAUGAACUUAUCAGUCUCUUGUGCAACAUGUUCUGGCUCCACUAUCUCUGGCAGAGUUUCCCUUCUUGAUUUCUUCACAUGCACAUUAGGGGAUCGCCUUAGCUGCUGCAUAGCCGUGUGCACCCCGAAACUCGUCGACAGUCCGAUCAUCCCUAGCGCCACGCACACAGGCACAAAGUCUCCCUUUCUUGACCUGCCAUCAUCACAUCGCAAAAUUUAGAAAAGGUACUUCUCUAGGUUCAAAUUGUUAAAAUUAUUGUUGAUCUAAUUGUUUAGUGACAAAUUAUCAAAAGAUUAUGUUAGUUAUAUAUAAGCAAUUUAGGGACGGAUUAGUGACAAAGUUCAUAGUUAAUUCUAACUUUUUUAGAGUGAUACAUAUACACAUUUUUUUAACUGGUUGAAAUUAAAUUCUGAAUUCUCCUCCCUAAACCGUAAAACCAAUCAUCAAGCUACUUAAUUGGAAAGAGUAAGUAGUGGAGUAGAGAAUUAAUCUUACUUGGGCACAGCCUCUUUGAGUUGGAGAGGUGAAAAUGGCUUGAGCUUUGAAGUGGCUGCUGUUGCAUAAUUUAGUGAUGAACUUCCUUUAAAGUGAUUUACUGCGGAUUUUAGAUAAGACUGCAAUAUCCAAAAACAGGCUCUCUCUUAAUUUAAUGUAGCAUAAAUACAGAUAAUAAGCUCGCUUACAUAUAAUAGAGUAUAUAAUUAAGGAACAAACUUAUUCAUGAUCACCAAGUUAUAAUUGGAACUUACCGCUGAUCUAAAAGCCAUAGGAAUAAACAAUUGAUUGAAGUAGGUUGAGAAUUCGAUAAAUUUUAAUAUGAUUUCAAGUUUGGUGUGUUUGUUCAAAAUCGAAUUGCUAAGUUUGGUUGAUCACAUUUGCACUUGUGAUUGUCCACUUAAUAUAUAGUUGAGGACAGAUGGUUCGGGAGACACCUAGGACGUAAUAGGACAAGGGCCAUAUGAUUUUUACCGAAUGGGAGUUGGGCACGUGUCAACUAGAAAAUGAGUCCACGUCAUUGCUAUGGACAUGGAAGUCUCCUGAACCUACUAAGUGAUUUUUAGCAGAUAAUAAUCACUUAAUUAAGCAUUAAUAUAGACUGAUAAAUAGUAUUCCCUCCAUUUCGUUUUAAUUGACCCUCUUUUUUAAAAUAUUUAUUUCAAUUUAAUUGUCCAUUUAAUGAAAUCAAGAGGAUUUUAUUAUAUUUUUCCAAUACUACCUUAAUAUUAAAUGACUAAAUAAAGUAUAUUUACUCAAAAUUAUAUUUUCAAGACAUAAUUAAUAAGGCUAAUUUGAUAAAAUAAAAUCCUAAUUAAUAUUUUCUUAAUGAAGAUAUCAAGUCAAUAGGGAUCAACUAAUAUAAAACGGAGGGAAUAAUAAAAUUGAAUUCAUGCACGAAAUUGCAUGUCAUAGACCCAGAUAUUGGUGACUUUAGAUAUUUAAGGUAGAAGAGGUUAGACAGGCUGUUCGCAGAAUGCGAGGGGGUAGGGCGACGGGGCCGGAUGAGAUACCGGUGGAGUUUUGGAAGUUUGUUGGAGAGGCUGGUGUUAGGUGGUUGACUGGAUUGUUUAAUGAAAUCUUCAAGACGGCAAAGAUGCCCGAGGCUUGGAGGUGGAGCACCAUGAUACCUCUCUAUAAGAAUAAGGGGGACAUCCAGAGUUGCAAUAACUAUAGGGGGAUUAAGUUAUUGAGCCACUCUAUGAAGAUCUGGGAGAGAGUGGUCGAGGUGAGGCUGAGACGGAUAGUGUCUAUUUCGGAAAACCAGUUUGGAUUUAUGCCUGGCCGCUCGACGACGGAGGCAAUUCACCUGGUACGGAGGUUGAUGGAACAGUAUAGGGAGAGGAAGAAGGACCUGCACAUGGUUUAUCGACCUGGAGAAGUCCUACGACAAAGUCCCCAGGGAGGUGCUUUGGAGAUGCUUGGAGGUGAGUGGAGUACCGCUGGCAUAUAUCAGAGCAAUUAAGGAUAUGUAUGAUGGAGCGAAAACCCAGGUGACGGCGGGAGGAGACUCAUAGCAUUUCACUGUCCGGACAUGGUUGCAUCAGGGAUCUACUCUUAGACCUUUUUUGUUUGCAUUGGUGAUGGAUGUGUUGACGCGGCGUAUUCAAGGGGAGGUGCCUUGGUGUAUGCUUUUUGCAGACGAUGUAGUUCUGAUAGAUGAGACCCGAGAGGGUGUGAGCUACAAAUUAGAGGUGUGGAGGCAAACCCUUGAGUAUAAAGGGUUCAGGGUGAGCAGAAGCAAGACAGAGUAUGUGGAAUGCAAGUUUAAUGACGUGAGGCGGGAGAAUGAGGUAGGAGUAAAGCUGGAAUCACAGGAGGUAGGUAAGAGGGAGAGUUUCAAGUAUCUCGGGUCCGUGAUCCAGAGUAACGGUGAGAUUGACGAGGAUGUCUCGCACCGUAUUGGGGCGGGAUGGAUGAAGUGGAAGCUCGCGUCGGGGGUGCUGUGUGAUAAGAAGGUGCCGCCCAAGCUUAAAGGCAAAUUCUACAGGGCGGUAGUCCGUCCGGCCAUGUUGUAUGGAGCGGAGUGUUGGCCAGUGAAGAACUCCCACAUCCAAAAGAUGAGGGUGGCAGAAAUGCGGAUGUUGCGCUGGAUGUGUGGGCUGACUAGAGGGGAUAGAGUUCGGAAUGAGAACAUCCGGGAGAAGGUUGGUGUGACACCAGUGGAGUGCAAGAUGCGGGAAGCCCGAUUGAGAUGGUUCGGACACGUGAAGAGGAGGGGCAUGGAUGCCCCGGUCCGUAGGUGUGAGAGGCUAGCGUUGGAUGGGUUUAAGCGGGGUAGGGGUAGGCCGAAGAAGUACUGGGGUGAGGUGAUUAGGCGAGACAUGGAGCAGUUACAGCUCACCGAGGACAUGACCCUAGAUAGGAAGGUCUGGAGGACGCGAAUCAGGGCAGUGGACUAGGGCCAGUCUGAGUUGUCUUGAGCCGAGGGUCUAUCGGAAACAGCCUUUCUACUUCUUCAGAGGU